rnacentral:lncRNA from 1 species
GGUUGAAUUAAGGUGGAUUUCAGAAGUGGGGUGAACCGAGCAAGUGGCUUGGCAGUUUGGGGAGCUGAUCACGGGAUCAGUUGAAAUGAGGUUAGAUUCAAGGUGACUUGAAUCAAGGGUAAGAUGUUGGGCUGAACUUACCACCAUCCUCCUGCCUCAGUCCCCCAGUAUCUGGCCUUAUAGCACUGGCUUUGGCUAAGUAUUUUUAAACAGGUUUAUUGAGAUAGAAUUCACAUACCAUAUGAUUCACCCAUUGAAACUGGGGAAUUAAGUGGUUUUCAUCUGUUCAAACUGGUAUAAGCUUCACCACAAUCAAUUUUAGAAUAUUUUUAUCAUACCCCAAAGAAAUGCCAUAUCUAUGAGCAAUCACUCCUCAUUUCUUCCCAGCCUCCCAGCCCUAGACAACCACUAAUCAAUUUUCUGUCUCUGUAGAUUUGCCUCUUCUGGACGUUUCAUAUCAAUAGAGUUUGACAAUAAGGGCCCUUGUGUCCGGCUUUUUACUUAGCAGUAGUUUUUAGGCUUGUUUAGUAGCGUUUCUUAGCGUACCGUUCCGUGCUUCAUUCC